rnacentral:rRNA from 1 species
GAUGAACGCUGGCGGCGUGCCUAAUACAUGCAAGUAGAACGCUGAAGGAGGAGCUUGCUUCUCUGGAUGAGUUGCGAACGGGUGAGUAACGCGUAGGUAACCUGCCUGGUAGCGGGGGAUAACUAUUGGAAACGAUAGCUAAUACCGCAUAAGAGCAGUUGUUGCAUGACAGCUGUUUAAAAGGUGCAAUUGCACCACUAUCAGAUGGACCUGCGUUGUAUUAGCUAGUUGGUGAGGUAACGGCUCACCAAGGCGACGAUACAUAGCCGACCUGAGAGGGUGAUCGGCCACACUGGGACUGAGACACGGCCCAGACUCCUACGGGAGGCAGCAGUAGGGAAUCUUCGGCAAUGGGGGCAACCCUGACCGAGCAACGCCGCGUGAGUGAAGAAGGUUUUCGGAUCGUAAAGCUCUGUUGUAAGAGAAGAACGAGUGUGAGAGUGGAAAGUUCACACUGUGACGGUAUCUUACCAGAAAGGGACGGCUAACUACGUGCCAGCAGCCGCGGUAAUACGUAGGUCCCGAGCGUUAUCCGGAUUUAUUGGGCGUAAAGCGAGCGCAGGCGGUUAGAUAAGUCUGAAGUUAAAGGCUGUGGCUUAACCAUAGUACGCUUUGGAAACUGUUUAACUUGAGUGCAAGAGGGGAGAGUGGAAUUCCAUGUGUAGCGGUGAAAUGCGUAGAUAUAUGGAGGAACACCGGUGGCGAAAGCGGCUCUCUGGCUUGUAACUGACGCUGAGGCUCGAAAGCGUGGGGAGCAAACAGG